UUCACCAAAAACGACUUGGUGAACCUCGUAUUUCCUCUUCAUACCGUUCUUUGGAAAUUGGAAUCUUGUGUGAAUUAAAUAAAGUAUAUAUGUUUGAAGCAUAUCUUCUUCUUUUAUCAUUGGUGUAAACCUGUGUGGCGAAACUAAGGGAGUGAAAAUGUCAAAAAUGGAGGUUAUCUAUGAGUUUAUAUAUGUCAAAUUUCCAAGUUCUGAGUCUGUUAAAGUGUAUUGUUGGGCAACUGACAGAAAGCAUACUGUAGGGCUCUAGGUAUUACAUUACACGAUGACUAACAAAUUAUAGCAUACUGUAUAUAUUGUUAUGUUUCGCACAGUGACCCAAGUGCAAAUUUAAAAGGAACAAGUAUGAAUGCUGUGAAAUACUGCAGCAAUAUAUGAAUACUGUGAAACUCAGUGCAUGGCAGGACUAGUGUAUUAAGAGUUAAAGGGAACUUAAAAUUUAGGUCAUUUUAAGUAGGUUAAGUACCAAUUAGUUAAAGCUAAAGUUACCAAGCUACAAAAUACAUGUAAGACUGGUUUAUGUAUGGAUCUCUUUUAUAACAACCAGUUCAGCAUAAUUUCCAGCACCAGUUCAGCAAAUAGUGACUGUUUUACAUGGUAAUUUUUGCAUUUGGGGCAAUAGCAGCUUUCAGCUUGUUUAAGCAAGAAUUAACAAUAACAAUGACAAUAACAGGAACCUUUAGUUAAUUAGCGGUUAAUAUGAUUCGGUAACAAGUUCCGAUUUGAAGCAUGCAAACUUUGCGUAAAUCACCCUUUCACUCAGUUGGUUUUGAGCAUUUGUAAGGCACUGUCGCACUUGAAAUUCGUGUCCUAAAGUGUUUAAAUAAGGCACUCGUUUAGAAGUAUUUCGUAGUCGCACCAAUAGUGGAUAUCGUGGUUUGCGCAUAGCCUCGACUGAGUCGAGUCGACUCGACAAGCGGGACUGUUUUAUGUAAGUUUAUUUUUACAAUUGUUUUUAAUUUGUGUAUAGCUUCUUUGUUAACGUGAUAGUUUUAGCAGUUUACAUGACUAGAGUUGAACGAUCGUCUUCUUUUAGAACGCAUUAAAUCUUUAGUGUAAGUGUAUGUAUUUAUAAGCCUUUUUUAAAUCUUUAGUGUAGCUAAGUGUAUGUAUAAGCCGAUAGGCUUCUUAAGUAAGUUGUUUGUUAUAUUUUUUUAGUAAUGCAAUAACAUUUAAAAUUAGAUUUUUGGCACUUUCUCGCCCACAAUUUGUCUCAGUAGUUACUCUACGUUUGAAAAUAAUGCACCAAUUUUCUCGGCCUCAGAAACCUAGCAUUUGU